rnacentral:tRNA from 1 species
ACCUGACUGGCUCAGUGGGUGGAGCAUGAGAUUCUGGGUUUUUGGGCUUGUGGGUUCGAGUCCCAGGUUGGGUG